rnacentral:snoRNA from 1 species
CCUCCAUUUCUUGGCAUACAUGUUGUUGCUCAGUACUCAUGUGUGUAAUGUACGGAGGUAGAGCAAAGCCUGCGCUAUGUCUUCGGUACCGGUGUGUGUUAUCGUCUGCCGGUCCUAUCCUCAAUCGCUGGCACACUC